rnacentral:rRNA from 1 species
AAGCUCGUAGUUGAAUUUCGGGGUUAGUAGGUUGGUCAUGCCUCUGGUAUGUACUGGUCUCACUGAUUCCUCCUUCCUUAUGAACCGUAAUGCCAUUAAUUUAGUGUUGCGGGGAAUUUGGACUGUUACUUUGAAAAAAUUAGAGUGUUUAAAGCAAGCUAACGCUUGAAUACAUUAGCAUGGAAUAAUGAAGUAGGACGUUCGAUCUUAUUUUGUUGGUUUCUAGGAUUGACGUAAUGAUUAAUAGGGAUAGUUGGG